AAAUUGAAGGCUCGCGCAAGAGGGGGGGGAUCUAACGUGCAAAUCUGCCAUUUAAAAAGAGAAGGCGCGGAUCCGGGUACCCAGCGGGUCGACGCGCGGAUCCUCAAUGCUUGGAACUGCGCCGUUUUUGAAACCCCCCUAAACCCUCAUUCGGACUUCCUUUUUCAUAUUGCUUUAACUCAGCCGACUUUCUUUUCCUUUUUGAAAGCAAAAACCCUUAAAAUCAAUCAGUAUGGUUCCAUUAGCACGCCUCUGCCGAACCACCAUCAUUUGGUGACCAGCCGCAUGCAAACACCGCCCCGAUUACGCCAUUGAAGGAGCUUAACCACACCUUGAAGGAUUUAUUCUUCUGGUGUAUUCCUAUGCAGACCUGGCCGUACAGAGGAAACGUGCGAAGAAGGCCGUGCAAGGAUUCACUCGUGGGAGCCUCAACUUUCUGACCGAUUCCAGAAGCUUGUGGUGCCCUCAUCUGCUGUACUCUCUUUUUUGGUGUUUUGGGCCUCGGGUUUGGGUUUAGGAUUAUUGGGUCAUGGGUUUUUUUGGUAAUAAAAAUUGUAAAUGGACUCUUUUGGACUAUUUAGUCUUGGACUUUAUUUAUUUAUUUGAGUUUAUUUAUUUGCAAAUAAAUUAAA